GACGAACGCUGGCGGCGUGCUUAACACAUGCAAGUCGAACGGAAAGGCCCCCACCUUGGUGGGGGUGCUCGAGUGGCGAACGGGUGAGUAACACGUGGGUGAUCUGCCCUGCACUUCGGGAUAAGCUUGGGAAACUGGGUCUAAUACCGGAUAGGACCAUGGUUUAGUGUCUCAUGGUGGAAAAAUUAUUGUUUUGGUGCAGGAUGAGCUCGCGGCCUAUCAGCUUGUUGGUGGGGUAAUGGCCUACCAAGGCGUCGACGGGUAGCCGGCCUGAGAGGGUGGACGGCCACAUUGGGACUGAGAUACGGCCCAGACUCCUACGGGAGGCAGCAGUGGGGAAUAUUGCACAAUGGGCGCAAGUCUGAUGCAGCGACGCCGCGUGGGGGAUGACGGCCUUCGGGUUGUAAACUCCUUUCGUUAGGGACGAAGCCACAUUUUUUUGGUGUGGGACGGACCUUGUAA
rnacentral:rRNA from 1 species